CAGCAGCCGCGGGAAUACGUAGGUCCCGAGCGUUGUCCGGAUUUAUUGGGCGUAAAGGGAGCGCAGGCGGUUUAGUAAGUCUGGAGUUAAAGGCAUUGGCUCAACCAAUGUAUGCUUUGGAAACUGUUUGACUUGAGUGCAGAAGGGGAGAGUGGGAUUCCAUGUGUAGCGGAGAAAUGCGUAGAUAUAUGGAGGAACACCGGUGGCGAAAGCGGCUCUCUGGUCUGUCACUGACGCUGAGGCUCGAAAGCGUGGGCAGCGAACAGGAUUAGAUACCCCUGUAGUCCCUGUCUCUUAUACA
rnacentral:rRNA from 1 species